GAUGAAGAACGUAGCGAAAUGUGAUAAGUAAUGUGAAUUGCAGAAUUCAGUGAAUCAUCGAAUCUUUGAACGCACAUUGCGCCCGCCAGUAUUCUGGCGGGCAUGCCUGUUCGAGCGUCAUUUCAACCAUCAAGCCCCAGGCUUGUGUUGGGGACCUGCGGCUGCCGCAGGCCCUGAAAAUCAGUGGCGGGCUCGCUAGUCACUCCGAGCGUAGUAGCAUACAUCUCGCUCUGGGCGUGCUGCGGGUUCCGGCCGUUAAACCACCUUCAUAACCCAAGGUUGACCUCGGAUCAGGUAGGAAGACCCGCUGAACUUAAGCAUAUCAAUAAGCGGAGGA
rnacentral:misc_RNA from 1 species